CCCUGGAUCCUCGGUUUUGAGCAGCAAACAUCACUACAAACCGAGGGUUCAAAUUGGAAUCUCGUCAGCACGACCUCAGGGACCAGAGUUGGCUGGGUUUAGACAUAAUGGUGUUGUAUGGCGGCAACCACCCUUGGAUGUAGAGGCGCAGUCCACGACCAACGAGUUGGGCACUGGAUGGCGUAGCAGAUAAGAAACAAACCAGAACUUUAAAUCAAGACUUGCUGCUGCUCUGUGAGAUAUGAUCGCCACUGUUCCCACAGUUCCUCCC